rnacentral:sRNA from 1 species
UGAUAUUUCAUCAGAUGAACUCAACACUUU